UCCUCCACUCCUCCAAGAUCGUCGACCGCGACCUCCGAUUCCGUUACCUCGCCGCCAAGUGCCUCGAAGAGCUGAAGGACUGGCAUCAAUGUCUUAAUAUACUUGGUGAUGCUAACGUGGAUGAACAUGGGAACAUAUAUGACAGAAACGAUUCUAAUCUCAUGUACUUGGAUAAAGGCGGCGAAGAUCAUGAAAUCAAUGUGAAAUUCUCUCCCGGUACA